rnacentral:rRNA from 1 species
AACGAACGCUGGCGGCAGGCCUAACACAUGCAAGUCGAACGAGAAGCCACCUUCGGGUGGUGGACAGUGGCAGACGGGUGAGUAACGCGUGGGAACGCGCCUUUCGGUUCGGGAUAACCCAGGGAAACUUGGGCUAAUACCGGAUACGCCCUCCGGGGGAAAGAUUCAUUGCCGAAAGAUCGGCCCGCGUCGGAUUAGCUAGUUGGUGGGGUAAAAGCCUACCAAGGCGACGAUCCGUAGCUGGUCUGAGAGGAUGACCAGCCACACUGGGACUGAGACACGGCCCAGACUCCUACGGGAGGCAGCAGUGGGGAAUAUUGGACAAUGGGCGAAAGCCUGAUCCAGCCAUGCCGCGUGGGUGAAGAAGGCCUUAGGGUUGUAAACCCCUUUCAGCGGGGAAGAUAAUGACGGUACCCGCAGAAGAAGUCCCGGCUAACUCCGUGCCAGCCGCCGCCGUAA